AUGACCCGGUACCGAGUGGUUGUGCCGGACCCAGGUGAAUACCCGGAAGUGGUCAGCCGCCCCACAGCCGCCCUCUACUCGGAACCCACAGCCGCCCCACAGCCGCCCUCUACUCAGAACCCACAGCCGCCCUCAGCCAGGGAUUCAGCAUAUUUACUGCCUUCAGCGACUUUCUGCUGAAGCUGGGGCCACCCCCUGCCCCCCAGGGCAGCUCCCACUGCUCUCAGCCUGUGCAGCUCCCCUUCUCGACCUCCUGCCACACGGCCCCUGCGUCCAGCCCUGCGGCCUCACCUGCUCCUU